rnacentral:lncRNA from 1 species
AGUCAAAGAGAGGUAAUACUACCAUCCGGGCUUUAUUACAUUCAGAACAGAAAAUUACAGUGGAACAAAGGACUUACAGCAGAGUUACAGGAGGUUUUUAGAACCAACGAAAACACAACAGCAGACUCUAAAGUAGAACAGAGCAGAGGCAAAGCAGAAAAUAAGAGAAAAUAUGGAGGUUUUUUUGUUCUUUAUAUUCCAUUUCUCUUG